GAUGAACGCUGGCGGCGUGCUUAACACAUGCAAGUCGAACGAGAAGUGAAGACGGAAACCUUCGGGCGGAAGGCUUUAUUUCGAGUGGCGGACGGGUGAGUAACGCGUGGGUAACCUGCCUCAUACAGGGGGAUAACAGUUGGAAACGACUGUUAAUACCGCAUAAGACCACAGCACCGCAUGGUGCGGGGGUAAAAACUCCGGUGGUAUGAGAUGGACCCGCGUUCGAUUAGCCAGUUGGCGGGGUAACGGCCCACCAAAGCGACGAUCGAUAGCCGAUCUGAGAGGAGGACCGGCCACAUUGGGACUGAGACACGGCCCAAACUCCUACGGGAGGCAGCAGUGGGGAAUAUUGCACAAUGGGGGAAACCCUGAUGCAGCGACGCCGCGUGAGUGAAGAAGUAUUUCGGUAUGCAAAGCUCUAUCAGCAGGGAAGAAAAUGACGGUACCUGAGGAAGAAGCCCCGGCUAACUACGUG
rnacentral:rRNA from 1 species